AUUGAACGCUGGCGGCAGGCCUAACACAUGCAAGUCGAGCGGAUGAAGGGAGCUUGCUCCCGGAUUCAGCGGCGGACGGGUGUGUAAUGCAUAGGAAUCUGCCUGGUAGUGGGGGAUAACGUCCGGAAACGGGCGCUAAUACCGCAUACGUCCUGAGGGUGAAAGUGGGGGAUCUUCGGACCUCACGCUAUCUGAUGAGCCUAGGUCGGAUUAGCUAGUUGGUGGGGUAAAGGCCUACCAAGGCGACGAUCCGUAACUGGUCUGAGAGGAUGAUCAGUCACACGGGAACUGAGACACGGUCCAGACUCCUACGGGAGGCAGCAGUGGGGAAUAUUGGGCAAUGGGCGAAAGCCUGAUCCAGCCAUGCCGCGUGUGUGAAGAAGGUCUUCGGAUUGUAAAGCACUUUAAGUUGGGAGGAAGGGCAGUAAGUUAAUACCUUGCUGUUUUGACGUUACCAACAGAAUAAGCACCGGCUAACUACGUG
rnacentral:rRNA from 1 species